UACGUAGGGUGCAAGCGUUAAUCGGAAUUACUGGGCGUAAAGCGUGCGCAGGCGGCUGUGUAAGUCUGUCGUGAAAUCCCCGGGCUCAACCUGGGAAUUGCGAUGGAGACUGCACGGCUAGAGUGUGUCAGAGGGGGGUAGAAUUCCACGUGUAGCAGUGAAAUGCGUAGAUAUGUGGAGGAACACCGAUGGCGAAGGCAGCCCCCUGGGAUAAUACUGACGCUCAUGCACGGAAGCGUGGGGAGCAAACAGG
rnacentral:rRNA from 1 species